GUUUUCACCCCUUGUCGAGUCCAUUCCCUCUGGGAGUGUAAUCGAUGAGGGCGGGGGAUGCUUCACGUAUCCUCUACAUAUUACCACUUUUUUUGAAUGAGGGUGGAAUA
rnacentral:rRNA from 1 species